UUUAUUGAGAGUUUGAUCCUGGCUCAGGACGAACGCUGGCGGCGUGUCUAAGGCAUGCAAGUCGAACGGUCUGUUGUUCUUCGGAGUAACAGAUAGUGGCAAACGGGAGCGUAACACAUUGGUAACCUACCUCGAGACUGUGAAUAAUUCCGCGAAAGCGGGACUAAUACACAAUAUGGAUGGGGGGUCAUAUGACAUCCCCAUUGAAAGUUCCGACGUCUCGAGAGGGGCCUAUGUCCUAUCAGCUAGUUGGUGUGGUAAAAGCGCACCAAGGCUAUGACGGGUAUCGGGCGUGAGAGCGUGGCCCGACUCACUGGGACUGAGACACUGCCCAGACACCUACGGGUGGCUGCAGUC
rnacentral:rRNA from 1 species